UGGGGGAUAUUGCACAAUGGGCGAAAGCCUGAUGCAGCGACGCCGCGUGGGGGAUGAAGGCUUUCGGGUUGUAAACCUCUUUCGCUAUCGAACAAGGCCCGCUUAGGGUGGGUUGAGGGUAGGUGGAGAAGAAGCGCCGGCUAACUACGUGCCAGCAGCCGCGGUAAUACGUAGGGCGCGAGCGUUGUCCGGAAUUAUUGGGCGUAAAGGGCUUGUAGGCGGCUUGUUGCGCCUGCUGUGAAAACGCCGGGCUUAACUUCGGGCGUGGAGUGGGUACGGGCAGGCUUGAGUGUGGUAGGGGUGACUGGGAUGCCAGGUGUAGCGGUGGAAUGCGAAGAUAUCUGGAGGAACACGGAUGGCGAAGGCAGGUCACUGGGCCAUUACUGCCGCUGUGGAGCGAAAGAAUGGGUAGCGAACAGG
rnacentral:rRNA from 1 species